AUACGGAGGGUGCAAGCGUUAUCCGGAUUCAUUGGGUUUAAAGGGUGCGCAGGCGGAUAUUUAAGUCAGUGGUGAAAUCCCGGGGCUCAACCUCGGAACUGCCAUUGAUACUGAAUAUCUGGAAUACGGUUGAAGUGGGCGGAAUGUAGCAUGUAGCGGUGAAAUGCAUAGAGAUGCUACAGAACACCGAUCGCGAAGGCAGCUCACUAAGCCGAUAUUGACGCUCAGGCACGAAAGCGUGGGGAGCAAACAGGAUUAGAUACCCCAGUAGUCC
rnacentral:rRNA from 1 species